GACGAACGCUGGCGGCGUGCCUAAUACAUGCAAGUCGAACGCAUUUUCUUUCACCGUAGCUUGCUACACCGAAAGAAACUGAGUGGCGAACGGGUGAGUAACACGUGGGUAACCUGCCCAUCAGCGGGGGAUAACACUUGGAAACAGGUGCUAAUACCGCAUAAUUCCAUUUACUGCAUGGUAGAUGGAUGAAAGGCGCUUUUGCGUCACUGAUGGAUGGACCCGCGGUGCAUUAGCUAGUUGGUGGGGUAACGGCCUACCAAGGCUGCGAUGCAUAGCCGACCUGAGAGGGUGAUCGGCCACACUGGGACUGAGACACGGCCCAGACUCCUACGGGAGGCAGCAGUAGGGAAUCUUCGGCAAUGGACGCAAGUCUGACCGAGCAACGCCGCGUGAGUGAAGAAGGGUUUCGGAUCGUAAAACUCGGUUGUUAGAAAAGAACAAGGAUGAGAGUGGAAAGUUCAUCCCUUGACGGUAUCUAACCAGAAAGCCACGGCUAACUACGUG
rnacentral:rRNA from 1 species